rnacentral:miRNA from 1 species
UGCUGCGGAUGGGGGCAUACGU